CUCUGCCCGCUCCCCAAUCUCGCUGAGGAACGGCGCAUACGGGCUUACGUUCUACGUGCGCGCUCCCGAGGUAGCCGUCAAUGCCCUCACCCCUUUCCUACGCAGCUGGAAUCGGAGCUUGCCUAAGACGGGUUACCUUGCCACUUGUAUAACAAUGACCCAACUGUCUGUAUCUCUGGGCAAAGAAAGAGGCUUCGCAGAAUGUGGGAAGUAAAGAAUCGGGAGUCAUGUGAUCCAUGAGAUCGCCGCCAUUUUGUGGGGGGGGUUCCCCUUUUUUUUUUUGUAGCUCAGCUUGAUGGAGCUUAGCCCCCAACCAGAGAUCAACCAGCGGUGGAGGCAUAAGAGUCCUAACCACUGGACCACCAGGAAAUUCCCUUGCAUCUCCUUGAGUAAAUAAAAGUUAUUCACCAACUAUUUCAUUGUUCUUCACACUUGGUGAAUGACCAGCUUAUGGGAUCUGUUCCCCCAGCAGGGAAUCAAACCUAUAAACUCUGAUAUGGACAUAUGGAACCCUAAAACUGGACUGUCAAGGAAUUACCC
ensembl:lncRNA